GGGCCGGCUGGUUUCUUCAGGGUGGGGCAGUGGACACGGGGAAGCUAGCAGUUGAAUGAGAGCACUUAGCUUUGAAAGAGCCAAUCUUCAGAGACGAUUCAACCCUGGCACCUUUUAAGGAGUUUUUGCACUAAGGCAUGAUGGGUCCCACCCUCCACCUCCUCCAGCUCAGUCGCAUGUUUUCCAAGGACACGCCCCAAACUCUCUGUCAAACAGAGGCCACGCCUUCAUGUGCUCCUGAGCACACCGUCAGAGUCAGUAUUAAGUCCCGGUCAUGUUCUUUCUCAACGAAUGAUGAAACACACAUUCACACACAGACCACUGUGUCCCCACCCCCUCGAAGCCAGAAGUGGCUUGAGAUGAACACCCAACAGAAACGGGCCUUUCCUUUGUGAGACAAAGGAACGGCCAUGCCAUGCAAAAAAUGGCAGCACCGAAUGAAUGUGAAUAAGGAGCAGCAGAAUGAAAGAGCCAGAAUGAGGAGUUGCUCUAUAAUAUGGUUGCGAAGGAACGCAGCCAAUCAGAACGAGAGGAGCUGUCAGCAUUCCGUAAACAUCUGGCAUGGAAUUCCAUCGGAAUAAUCGGAAUAACGCAGCAGUGGUUCCGAUUGGCUGAUCAAGUGAACGCAAGGGUUUCGAUGCUGCUUUACCUUCUAAUUUUAUUUGAGAGAGAUAGAAAAAGAAAAAAAAGAUAUAAUAAAAGAAAUACAAACCCAGAAAACGAAAAAUGACUCCAGAACAAAAAGUUCAAAUCUUGGAGCUUGAGCUGUUCAUUUCUUUCUUUUUGUUUUGAACUGAAAUUUGUGUUCGUUUUUUGAUGCUUAACUGCUCUAUGUAAGAGAGAAAACAGCCGUAGUCACUUUUUGACCAUGCGUGCAGUGUAAACUAGAGAAUUUCACCUCACUAUAGUUUGUAAUGAUUAGUCGACUGCUCUGUUUGUCUGUGUAUCUGUCCUUCAUCUUUUUAUCAAGAGGAAAUUUACAAGAAACAGGAAUAUUUUCUUUUUAUAUUUUGUUUUUCUUUUUUUAUGAAAACAGAAAAACAGAAAUAAUGCAACAGAAACUGAAAAAAAAACUGAAACACAAUCUACUCAUACCUCACACAACACAGAGCUUAAAUGAACUUGGUAGGAGUGCGUAUCUCCGUGGCACUUAUGUCAAAGUGUGUCCAGUGCAUGUGUUGAACUGUACGAUGGGGUGUAUGUGCGCAAGCGUUCAUGUGAUCGCGGAAGCACACACGCCCCCUCCUUCAGCCUACGAAACGCCCAUCUGUUUCAGUAUUUACACCAGUUGCAUGCUAAUUUGGCCACAUAAAUGUUUCUCCGCAAAAAUGGAAAUAAGUCCAAUCUUCAGUUCCCAUGCUUUAUGUAAAUUAUUGGAGUGCACCUCAAAGAAACCAAAAGAUACUCGAAUAUGAAGUGAUCAGGUGUAAACAGGGCCAAAAUUGUUGUUGUUUUUUGUUUUGUUUUUGUUUUGUUUUUUCUUUUUUGUUACUUUUACUAAGUGUUUUAGGUCCAUAACCAAGGAAUGUAAAUACAAAAUGAAAAGAUACUGAAAGAUGAAAUCUCUGUGUUAACCAUAUGCAACCAUCACAUACUGGAUGUCAAGGCCAGAACGCAGCCCGUGCGCAGACUGAUCCUUCCAUUUUUGUAAAGUAAAUCUGCUUACAUAGCUCUGUAAUUGCUUCACACAUCUGUAUGUGUGCUUUUGUGCACUCACAAACGUGCAUGUUCAAUACAAAUAUGAAGAAGAAGAAGUGCCCCAUGAAAUUAACAAUCCAUCCCUGUGCCUCCGCAACCCUCUGUCCCACACUCAAACCGCUUUUUCUGACAGGGUAGCUAGACAUACAUUUGUUUGCUAGGUCAGAUUGCUGGUAGUGACAUAGGUGGUUAUGGUCUGGUACCCAGAAGCACUUAGCUGGCCUCGCUACUGCCAAUCAGUUUCCUCAGAGGAGAACAGUAGAUACUGGUUUUGUUUGCUUUGGUGGUGGUGGUGUACUUUUGUUUCUCGUCUUUUUUUUUUUUUUAAAGACUAAAAAACGCCCAGAAGCAAGAAUGUCUAUGCAAUGCUAAACCCUCUGAUAGCAUGAUAAAUGUGUCACUGAGCCCUGAUUAGCAGACAUAUGUCUUUCUGAACACUUCCCCUCCCAAAGUCCCACCCACCGCAACUGCAUGAGCCUCAGUCAGUUUGUCUGUUCAUCGGUCAGUGUCAUAGUCAAGGGAAGGAUGGCCCUAACUGCUGCCUGGCUGAGACCUGCUUUGUCAAACCUUGCAAAUUUGGGGGGCGCUAGUUCAACUUUCCACUGAUGUCAUACGCUGUCGAGACUGCAUUUGUGUUUAUAUUUAUGUGUUUGCGUCGAAUGCUCUCAUGGUUUGGUGGAUUGGUACUACCCAAUACCUUGUUAGAAACAAAACGGCAUUCCAUGUAUUCAAAAUGAAAACACAUUUUUUUAGAAACACUUACCAAAACAUCAUUAAUAUUCAACCUUGAAAUGUUUUUGAGUUGAUAUUCCCUCCCCUCUCAGCUGUGGAAGUGAAUCUCAGACCAAAGUUAUAGUCAGUCUUAAGGCUGAAGUGUGUCAUUUUUAAUGCAAAAUCAACUACUAUUUAUGUUAAAAUACUUGAUUAAUACACAGAGAUUACUAUAAAUAAGCCAUUUCUAAGCCAAUUUCACCAAAAAGCGUAAACACCAUGUCUCUGAGGCUCUAUGGAAACUUUUCACUGGCCUGGCAACAGCGCAACCAAUGGCGUGAGUUUGAGGCGGGGCUAUCAGUUUUAUGUAGCCAAUAGCAGAAGAGGGGAGUGUUUUGGAAAAGCCGUUCCAUUUAAUGACACUAGUUGUGCAGAAAUCACACACUUCAGCUUUAAUACCGUAUAUGCAAAACCCCAACUGAACGAAAGAAAAAAAGAAGUGCACUUUUUUGAACAUUUUAGUUUGAUUGGCCGCCCUCAGCACUGAUGUCAAAGUCCUCAUUUCCACUGUUCCCUUUAAAGUUGAAUGUGAGUGUCUUCAUUUGAUUAAACUGUGUUUGUGAAUAUGUAGAAGUGCUCAUGUGCAAAAUGCACCCAGCCAUGAGAGUGUGAGCAGAGAGCGGGGAUGAUGUCCAUACCACAGCUGUUUUCAAUGAGACUGGAAAGGAAAGCUUUUGAAGGAUUCUCUCAGGUAUCAACAAAAUAAAAAAAGACAAGAAAAAAAAAGGAAAUAUAACAAACUUUUUUUUUUUUAAAUAAAUGAUGAAAAAUUCCAGCCAUGCCUUCUUGUUAGCUCAUCAUUCUUUGCUCUCUGAGUGUUUCCGUGUUCUUGUCUUGUGGUCUCCUUCUCUUUAGUGCUGAUCAGCCUCUCUCUUUCUGCCACAUGCACACACAUUUCUCCUGCACUCUUGGGGCUCAUCAAAGGCAAUCACGAAAAGCCUGGUGAGAACACAUCUCUGCUUAUCUAAACAUUAAAGCAGUAAGCCUUCAUAUUUCUGCAAAGUAUAGUUUUUAUAUACAAGCAUUUAGUGGAACCAGACCCACUCAAACCUGUCCUACUUUUUAGGUGCACUUAGUAUUUUUAUUUUUUUUUCUUGUAGCACUUAUGUAACAUCCUUUUAAACUUAUACUGACACGUAGUGGUGUGGAUGAAAUGUCAUGCUAAUCUUUAAUUGAAGCUGUUGUAGAAAUGCGUAGAAUGAAAUUUUUAGAUAAAACGG
rnacentral:lncRNA from 1 species